UCACCAAAACCCAUCACAGCGCACUACAUUUCAACUGCUGUCAUAAAAUGACUUCAGGGCUGCUUUUCCUCAGCAAGCUGCAGAUAGACUCUGUCUCGAAUUGUUUUGACAGCUCGUCAGGAUUUAUUGCCCAAAAAAGGAAAAGUUUUCAAAAUGUACCAGCUUUUCUCUGCUGUUUUGAUUCCCUGGUUCAGUUUACAUCUCUGCAGCCAGACUGAUGGAGGCAACAAUGAAAAGAAACAUGUGAGACAAAGCUGUUGGAGGAAACAACAGGCAGUUGGGCCUCAUGUGUAUCCAGAGGCUUGCUGUUCUUCACUCAGUUGAGUGGGUUUAGGAGUUUUAUCCCACAACUACUGUUUCCACCAAGAAAUUUGAUUAGGAAGAAGGUAUAAGAGGUCACAUAUGCAAUUAAAUUAUUAUCCUGUACAAUUUAGAUUUUAAAUGAUGAUGUGUGUGCUGACUGUUACAGGUGUCCACUGCACCAGAUUAGUCUCUGUUCUUUUUUGGACAUUUUGAAAAUCAGAAUUCUGGUUAAUUCAUCAUGUCAGAGUAAUGCUAUUGUUAUUUUUAGAUUGUCUACAUUUAGACUGUGCUACCACACGACAGUGAUGAAACACAAAUGGAAAAAUCUGUAACUGUUAAAAGGUCAGCAAAAGUGUAAAAUAAACAGGUCAUGUCAACCCAUCCAUAA